GACGAACCGUGCGAACGUUUGUUCGGAAUCAUUGGGCUUAAAGGGCGCGUAGGUGGCGUCGCAAGUCGAUGGUGAAAGCUCGGCGCUCAACGCCGAGUCGGCCCUUGAUACUGCGAGGCUGGAGCACUGUAGAGGCAGAUGGAAUUCCGGGUGUAGCGGUGGAAUGCGUAGAGACGUCGGAAGAACACCGGUGGCGAAGGCGGUCUGCUGGG
rnacentral:rRNA from 1 species